rnacentral:rRNA from 1 species
GAUGAACGCUGACAGAAUGCUUAACACAUGCAAGUCUUUGGCAAAUCUGUGCUUGCACAGCCUAGCCAAGGCGGACGGGUGAGUAACGCGUAAAGAACUUGCCCUGCAGACAGGGAUAACAGACGGAAACGACUGACAACACCUGAUACAGUUGCCGGCACGCAUGUGCCUGGCAAUGAAAAGAGAUGCUGCGGGAGAGCUUUGCGUCCUAUUAGCUUGUUGGCGGGGUAACGGCCCACCAAGGCGAUGAUAGGUAGCCGGCCUGAGAGGGUGAACGGCCACAAGGGGACUGAGAUACGGCCCUUACUCCUACGGGAGGCAGCAGUGGGGAAUAUUGGACAAUGGGGGCAACCCUGAUCCAGCAAUUCUGUGUGCACGAUGAAGGUUUUCGGAUUGUAAAGUGCUUUCAGCAGGGAAGAAGGAAGUGACGGUACCUGCAGAAGAAGCGACGGCUAAAUACGUGCCAGCAGCCGCGGUAAUACGUAUGUCGCAAGCGUUAUCCGGAAUUAUUGGGCAUAAAGGGCAUCUAGGCGGCCAGGCAAGUCUGGGGUGAAAACUUGCGGCUCAACCGCAAGCCUGCCCUGGAAACUGCCUGGCUAGAGUGCUGGAGAGGUGGACGGAACUGCACGAGUAGAGGUGAAAUUCGUAGAUAUGUGCAGGAAUGCCGAUGAUGAAGAUAGUUCACUGGACGGCAACUGACGCUGAAGUGCGAAAGCUGGGGGAGCGAACAGG